rnacentral:rRNA from 1 species
UACGUAGGGGGCAAGCGUUGUCCGGAAUUAUUGGGCGUAAAGCGCGCGCAGGCGGUCUGUUAAGUCUGGUGUAUAAACCUGGGGCUCAACCUUGGGAGGCAUUGGAAACUGGGAGACUGGAGUGUAGGAGAGGAAAGUGGAAUUCCACGUGUAGCGGUGAAAUGCGUAGAGAUGUGGAGGAACACCAGUGGCGAAGGCGACUUUCUGGCCUAUAACUGACGCUGAGGCGCGAAAGCGUGGGGAGCAAACA